ACAUGGGCUAUGCCUAUGAAAAUUAUUAUCCAACUUUCAGCACGGAUCUCUUGGCUCUCGCAUCGAUGAAGAACGCAGCGAAAUGCGAUAAGUAAUGUGAAUUGCAGAAUUCAGUGAAUCAUCGAAUCUUUGAACGCAUCUUGCGCUCCUUGGUAUUCCGAGGAGCAUGCCUGUUUGAGUGUCAUUAUAUUCUCAACUCUCCAAUACU
rnacentral:rRNA from 1 species